GCAUGCCUACAACAUAGCAUUAAUGCACCGGAUCCCAUUAGAACUCCACAGUUAAGAGUGCUUGGGCUGGAGUAGUAUUAGAAUGGGUGACCUCUUGGGAAUUCCUAGUGUUUUACAUGCC
rnacentral:rRNA from 1 species